GUCUGGGUGGCUGAGUUGGUUGAGCGUCUGACUUUGGCUCAGGUCAUGAUCUCAUGGCUCGUGGGUUCGAGCCCCACAUCGGUCU
rnacentral:tRNA from 1 species